rnacentral:rRNA from 1 species
UACGUAGGGUGCAAGCGUUAAUCGGAAUUACUGGGUGUAAAGCGCGCGUAGGCGGUAGGCCAAGUCUGCUGUGAAAUCGCCCGGCUCAACUGGGCGCGGUCGGUGGAAACUGGUCAACUGGAGGACGGUAGAGGCGAGUGGAAUUCCCGGUGUAGUGGUGAAAUGCGUAGAGAUCGGGAGGAACACCAGUGGCGAAGGCGGCUCGCUGGGCCGGACCUGACGCUGAGGCGCGAAGGCGUGGGGAUCAAACAGG